rnacentral:rRNA from 1 species
CAGUCGCCGCGGUAAUACGUAGGGUGCAAGCGUUAAUCGGAAUUACUGGGCGUAAAGCGUGCGCAGGCGGUUAUAUAAGACAGAUGUGAAAUCCCCGGGCUCAACCUGGGAACUGCAUUUGUGACUGUAUAGCUAGAGUACGGCAGAGGGGGAUGGAAUUCCGCGUGUAGCAGUGAAAUGCGUAGAUAUGCGGAGGAACACCGAUGGCGAAGGCAAUCCCCUGGGCCUGUACUGACGCUCAUGCACGAAAGCGUGGGGAGCAAACAGGAUUAGAUACCCCUGUAGUCCCUGUAUCUUAUAC